UUAUAUAUCACAGUGGAGUCCUGAAAAAAAAAAUUCAGACCCCGCGGUCUGAAUUUUUUUUUUCAGGACUCCACUGUGAUACCAGG